UACAGAGGGUGCGAGCGUUGUUCGGAAUUACUGGGCGUAAAGCGCGCGCAGGCGGCCCUUUAAGUCUACCCGUGAAAUGCCGGAGCUCAACUCCGCGCACGCCGGGGGGAUACUGGGGGGGCUGGAGACAUGUAGAGGCAAGCGGAAUUCCGGGUGUAGCGGUGGAAUGCGUAGAUAUCCGGAAGAACACCUGAGGCGAAGGCGGCUUUCUGGGACGUACUGACGCGUGAGA
rnacentral:rRNA from 1 species